rnacentral:lncRNA from 1 species
UUUUUUUUAAUUAUUACAUACUAUAGCCGACGAAAAAUCUAGACAUCGUCGGCUAAAAUAACUUAUAGCCGACGAAAUACCCUAAUAUUUCGUCGGCUAAACCCUAAACUUUUUUUUAUUACAUACUAUAGCCGACGAAAAAUACUAGACAUCGUCGGCCAAAAUAACUUAUAGCCGACGAAAUACCCUAAUAUUUCGUUGGCUAAAACCUAAACUUUUUCUGUUACAUACUAUAGCCCUAUCUUCGGUGGUUAUUUUGCGUAAAAUUUUUAUACGACUUAUUGUGUCUCAUCGAUUUGAAAAUAUUUUCAGUUGAAGGUCCGGCCAAAAUACGAAAUUUUGACGGUCCAACGACCUUUUCCGUGCAUUUAGGGGUUUGACUUACGGGAUUGACCGUCCGGAUCGAGCACUUAACCUUGUCAGAUCAAGUUGAAUUUUUUCCCAUACAUGUAUUUUAUCAUGAUGGUCAGAUCUGACCGUCGGAUUUCCUUUUCUCAAGUUUGAUCAUCACAAUCACAACAUACUUACUAAUGUUGUAUAACUUGUUUACCAAGUGUUAAGUAAAUGUUCCGUUUCAAAAACAAACUAUACGUAGAACCUUCAAACGUAAAAAAGUCGUGAAAUAAGACAUGACCAGAAUGGUGAAAUACCUCUACGGUUGAAAAAUCACGGUAUUCCGGUCAUGUCUCGGUGCCGAUAGUUGCGGUCAAUGCGAUUUUCCAUUCUUUCUCCCUAUGGGUAGCCCUAUCUUCGGUGGUUAUUUUGCAUAAAAUUUUUUUAGGACUUGUUGCGUCUCAUCGGUUUGAAACUAUUUUCAGUUGAAGGUCUGGCCAAAAUACAUAAUUUAGACACUCCAAUGACCUUUUCCGUGCGUUUAGGGGUUUGACUUAACGAGCCCGUAAGUCAAACGAUCCGGAUUGACCGUCCGGAUCGAGCCCUUAACCUUGUCGGAUCAAGUUGAAUUUUUUCCCAUACAUGUAUUUAAUCAUGAUGGUCAGAUCUGACGGUCGGAUUUUCGUUCUAAAGUUUGAUCAUCACGAGCAGCAGUCACAGUUAGACGAAUGUAUAAAAAGUUAUAAAACCGACGAAUUUAAAAGAUUAUAGCCGACGAAAUUACUGAGUUCGUCGGCUAAAGUGUUAUGUUAGCCGAUGAAAUUAUUAACUUUAGCCGACGAAAUAGUUAUUUCGUCGGCUAAAGUCUUCGGGUAUAACCCUGCUCGACUAAACCCUAGCCUCCUUUUCCUCUAUCUCCCUCUCCGAAUUUCCCCUCCGCCUCCGCUCCCUCUCCCUCUCCGCCUCCGCUCCCUCUCCCUCUCCCUCUCCGCCCGGCCUCCGCUCCCUCUCCGCCCGGCCUCCGCUCCCUCUCCCUCUCNNNNNN